ACACCCCCUUAGUAGAGCUAGAGCACAAACCCCUAACGACUAUAUUCUCUUAGGCCUUGUUUAGUUUCUAAAAAAAUUUACAAAAUUUUCUAGAUUCUCCAUCACAUUGAAUCUUAUGACACAUGCAUAGAACAUUAAAUACAAAUUAAAAAAAUAACUAAUUGCACAGUUUGAUUAUAAUUUGCAAGACGAAUCUUUUGAGCCUAGUUAGUCUAUAAUUGAAUAAUAUUUAUCAAAUAGAAACGAGAGUGCUAUAUUAUCCGUUUUACAAAAUUUUUUACAACUAAACAAGGCCUUAAUUGGAAUGUAGCUAGCGUCUAGAAUAUAGGAAUAGAAAAAAAAAAUAACACAUGAUUAAAGCUGCGUAAACCUCAUAAUCUUAUGUAUAAGUUCAAAAAGUGCAGAAAAACUUUUGCUUGUAAACCUUUGGACACAAAACAAAAAAAAUCCGG
rnacentral:lncRNA from 1 species